UCACAAGAACGGCCGAGACACUUGAUCGGCUCGACCGACACCUUUUGACGCGGUACUCUGGGACGUCGAGUGCAACAAAGAGAGUCUAGCUGUACACUUUUUUGUCCCUGAACCUCUGAACGGUUGCGAUGUUUGCUGCCCUGAGAAACUCGGCAAAAGGGAGCCCCACUGCAAGGGCCGCUUUCGGGGGCUUUCGUCACGAUUCCAACAGUGCAGUGCCCAAGACGGCCGUCUUGAUGCUGAACAUGGGAGACUCGAGCCACAAGGAAGACGUCGAACUAUUUUUGAAAAGGGUCUUCACGGACAGCGACAUCAUGUCUAUGCCAUUUCAAAGCAUCCUAGGUCCCCUUAUCGCAAGACGCAGGGCACCUAAGCUCGCUGAAAAAUACAAGGAGCUCGAGGGCAGUUCAACUCUGCUCCAAUGGACUGAGCUGCAAGGAAGGCAGAUAACGAAUACUCUUGAUAGCAUUUCACCUAAGACAGGACCACACAAGUACUACAUUGGCUUCCGUUAUACAAACCCCCUCACAGAAGACAGCUUGGAGCAAAUUGAAAAGGAUGGGGUUGAGAGAGUGGUGGCAUUCUCCCAGUAUCCUCAGUACAGUUGCUGCACGAGCGGAAGCAGCCUCAACGCCAUCUUUCGCUUCUACAACCAGAAAAAAAGGAAGAGCGCCGCACAGUGGAGUUUCAUCGACCGCUGGCCCAUUCACGAUGCCAUCACCAAGGGAUACGCCUCCAUAAUAAAAGAGGAGCUUAAAAAAUUUCCAGAGGAAGUCAGAGAUCAGGUUGUCAUCCUGUUUUCAGCGCACUCGCUUCCCAUGAAGAGAUUCAUACAUCCAGCCUCCUCAUUAUGUCUCAUCCCACGUAGAUCACCCCUUCAAAGUAGUGGGCAAAGGGGAUCCCUACCCCACCGAAGUGGCUGCCACCGUUGUUGGUGUGAUGAACGAGCUGAACAACAGCCAUCCUUACCGCCUCGUCUGGCAGUCAAAGGUGGGGCCCCUGCCGUGGCUGAAACCGGAGACGGAGGCCAGCAUGCGUGCCCUGGCUCGGAAGGGCCACCGCCACCAGCUGCUUGUGCCCGUCGCCUUUGUCAAUGAACACAUCGAAACUCUGCACGAGAUGGACCUGGAGCUGGGCAGGGAUGUUGCACCCAAGAUUGGGCUUUUAAAUUUCCGUCGUGCUCCAGCUCUGAACGACCAUCCAGCAUUUAUUCAGGGCCUCGCUGAUCUUGUCAAGGAACACCUAGAGUCUGGCCAGAAGUGCUCUCCACAACUGCUGCUGACGUGCCCCAUGUGCGACAAGAGGAUAUGCAAGGACAUGCGGGAAUGGGUGGCGUCUCUGCCUUGAGUCCUGGACUGGAUAGUGCUUGGGCAACCAAAUGGGAAAUCUCGACCAUCCGAUGACUCCAAUUUAUUGGACGGUGUUACAAAAUAGGGACAAUUGCUCAUUAAUUCAUUGUGCAAGGGUGAACAUUCGAAACACCAUGAUACGCAUGGUGAAAGAAUAAAGGUGCGAUUCUUUUAAACCUUUG